rnacentral:tRNA from 1 species
CGCGGGAUGGAGCAGUCUGGUAGCUCGUCGGGCUCAUAACCCGAAGGUCGUUGGUUCAAAUCCAGCUCCCGCAAU